rnacentral:rRNA from 1 species
ACUCCUACGGGAGGCAGCAGUAGGGAAUCUUAGACAAUGGGGGCAACCCUGAUCUAGCCAUGCCGCGUGUGUGAUGAAGGCCCUAGGGUCGUAAAGCACUUUCGCCAGAGAUGAUAAUGACAGUAUCCGGUAAAGAAAGCCCGGCUAACUCCGU